UUAACGGCCGCGGUAUCCUAACCGUGCGAAGGUAGCGCAAUCACUUGUCCUCUAAAUCAGGACUAGUAUGAACGGCAUCACGAGGGUUAUACUGUCUCCUUUUUCCAAUUAGUGAACUUAAUCUUCCCGUGAAGAAACUGGAAUAUCCUUAUAAGACGAGAAGACCCUUUGGAGCUUUAAACAACUUAGCACUUGCAACAUCUUAAUAUUUCCGAAUACUCUAACCCGCACAAUGACUAUAAGUUUUAGGUUGGGGUGACCGUGGAGUAAAAUACAUCCUCCACACUGUAAGAUUUUCAAAUCUUAACUAAGAGCCACACCUCUAAGUAUUAGCAUACUAACAUCUAUUGACCCAAUAUAUUUGAUCAACGAACCAAGUUACCCAAGGGAUAACAGCGCUAUCCAUUUCAAGAGUUCCUAUCGCCAAAUGGGUUUACGACCUCGAUGUUGGAUCAGGAUCUCCCAGCCGCUCUAAUG
rnacentral:rRNA from 1 species